rnacentral:lncRNA from 1 species
CCUCAAACUUCAGUUUAUCACUUUUCCCUCAAAUUGCACCUCAGCCAAUAAGAUUGGUCUUUUUUUUUUGUUCGAAGAGAUUAUUCAGCAAAGAUUGAUUCUAUUGAGGUUGCUUUCCAGAUAUUCACUUCAAAACUAGUGUCGUUAUUUCUAAGUUAGAAUGCUUUGAAACGGAAUAUGACUAUAUUUGCAGACAUUAUUGUUCAAGGAUGGUGGGAAUCUGUCUAACCAACUUAAUGUGUACUCCAGAGUGAAUUUUAAGAUAAAGAAAUAUAGUAGUAAAAACAAAAACCUCUGAUGUUCUCUGAAACCGAAUAAAUUUGUGUAAAGAAAGCAAUGAAAUUUCUACUACCACUAGUUAUUACGUUGGCAAUUUUGGAGGCAAACCUUCUUGCAAUAUUUUGAAAAUACACCAAAUCAAUUUAGCAGUUGAGUCAUCUUUCUGCAUCCCAUGCAUAAGACAAAACUAUCAGCACCAACAAUAUAACAUAUUUACGCACGAAUUUAACCAAAACUAGAAAAUGUAAAGAAUUUGCAGUUUAUACAAAAACAAUCACCUUCUUCUAUUCAAUCUUUUUUCUCUUGAUAUGCAGGUAGCCAGAUCCCCCCAAGAAAGGGAACUAUUUCAUUUAUUGUAGAGAAGUAACAAAAGAACAGAAUCUUAAAAUUUAAUUUCCCCAUCUUUGAACUAACAUAAAUGACACAAUAAUUAGCAUGCAAUUACAAAUUACGUUAACCAUCCCAAUUUAGUUGCGCACUGUUGAAAAUUAAAAAAGGAGGCUGAAACGCAAACAAAAAAGAGGAGGAAAAACAGGAAAUGGAGGGCUUGAAACCCGUAUAGGGUACUCUUUCCUUAAAAACAAUAUUUGCACCCUCUUGGUUUGAAAUUGCUAGCGGGCUUUUAAAACAAAUAAUUUUAAGGGAUAUGAGAAGCUUUAGGCAAAUAUGCAAACUCACUAAAGGUAACAAGAAUAAUUUAAAGUGUGAAUUUCAGCGCCACCGGAGGGAGAAUAUUCUCGCUCAAGGAUGGCUUGCUGAAAAUGCUUGCUCAUACACCUCUUAAAUUGUUAAACAGGUCAGCCACACAAUUCUUGUUUAUAAUUGAACAAAAUACAAGUACUUCCCGAAGUGCUUGUAACGAUGGUAUCAACAUCCACUUACCCCAAAAAUGCUAGAAGAUGGUACGUGAAGUCAUUUGGGUAACUCACAUAUUUUUUCUUUCUAAUGCUUAUGAAGCACCCCAAACUCCGUGGAGUCACCUAAUUAAAAAAAUGAGCCAAAUGGACACAGGAGUCAGGUCUGCACUAGGUAAGUUACGAUUUGAGUGCCACCCCCAGAUCCUCAGUUCUUCAUUUCUAGUUAAAAUAAAGCAAAUGCUAAUCCACACAAAAAAUAAUAAUAAUAAUAAUAAAACACAGAUAUCCUAAUAGACAAAAAGUGAGAAAAUGAUAUAAACAAGCAGACAAUGAAUUACCUGCUUCGAAUAAGGCUUUAAUCACAAUUGAUUUUAAGAAAUCCACAACCCAAACUUCCUAUGUUCCACUAACCGUAAAUCCUCAUCCAUUGCAAGGGUUUGAAGAAAUUAAAAGAUUGGGUUUCGUGAAUGUGAUGCUGUUAAGGUUGCAGAGAUAAGGUAAGGGGGUGGGAUGGGGUAGGGGGAGGUUAAUUUUGGUUCUCUCUUCUCCUCAGGUGAAAUCUGGUACACCAAAAUCGUUUUUAAUGGCAAUAAAUUUUACAAGCACUGAAUUGAACAAAACGGAAAAAUAAAGAGAGACUGUAAGAGGACUUGUCAAGUUCUUUAUCAAUAAUGGUUUGUGUGUGAAAUCAGAAUUACUCGAAUUAGAAGGGUAAGCGAUUGUAACC